rfam:Vicugna pacos cont1.275126, whole genome shotgun sequence.
AAGCUCCGCCAACUGCCCUUUGCUCGAAGUAAUUUUUGACGAUUUUUUUAGUGAUUUUUUGGCGUAGUCCUAGUGGCGCUAUACUCUCGACAGGUUAUCCCGUCUCUUCAGCUAGAUUGAUGAGAUCAGGCAUC